GAUGAACGCUGGCGGCGUGCCUAAUACAUGCAAGUCGAGCGAACAGACGAGGAGCUUGCUCCCCUGCCGUUAGCGGCGGACGGGUGAGUAACACGUGGAUAACCUACCUAUAAGACUGGGAUAACUUCGGGAAACCGGAGCUAAUACCGGAUAAUAUAUUGAACCGCAUGGUUCAAUAGUGAAAGACGGCUUUGCUGUCACUUAUAGAUGGAUCCGCGCCGCAUUAGCUAGUUGGUAAGGUAACGGCUUACCAAGGCAACGAUGCGUAGCCGACCUGAGAGGGUGAUCGGCCACACUGGAACUGAGACACGGUCCAGACUCCUACGGGAGGCAGCAGUAGGGAAUCUUCCGCAAUGGGCGAAAGCCUGACGGAGCAACGCCGCGUGAGUGAUGAAGGUCUUCGGAUCGUAAAACUCUGUUAUUAGGGAAGAACAAAGGUGUAAGUAACUAUGCACGUCUUGACGGUACCUAAUCAGAAAGCCACGGCUAACUACGUG
rnacentral:rRNA from 1 species